rnacentral:lncRNA from 1 species
GCACCUUGGUAUUACGGGAUGAUGCAUUAUAAAACUAUCUUGAAGUGAUAAUUGCCUUCUGAGAUAUUCUAUGAUUAUGGUCAUCUAUAAGAAGUUUAAGUUUUGUCAAGAUUGAUCUUUGGUUCGAGCCACCCUUAGUUGUGAGAUCAAUUUUCACCAUACUUAGCAUGUACCUGAGACGUGAUGUGGAGCAUGGAAGUACUAUCUUCUUGGACAUAAAAAAAUAUAAAAAAAUGUCAUCAUGG